rnacentral:tRNA from 1 species
GCGGGGGUGCCGGAGUGGCCAAACGGGCUGGACUCAAGAUCCAGUAGCUUAGUGCUUACGAGGGUUCGAAUCCCUUCCCCCGCA